rnacentral:rRNA from 1 species
AUUGAACGCUGGCGGCAGGCUUAACACACGCAAGUCGAGCGGAGAGAGGUAGCUUGCUACUGAUCUUAGCGGCGGACGGGUGAGUAAUGCUUAGGAAUCUGCCUAUUAGUGGGGGACAACAUUUCGAAAGGAAUGCUAAUACCGCAUACGUCCUACGGGAGAAAGCAGGGGAUCUGCGGACCUUGCGCUAAUAGGUGAGCCUAAGUCGGAUUAGCUAGUUGGUGGGGUAAAGGCCUACCGAGGCGACGAUCGGUAGCGGGGCUGAGAGGAUGAUCCGCCACACUGGGACUGAGACACGGCCCAGACUCCUACGGGAGGCAGCAGUGGGGAAUAUUGGACAAUGGGGGGAACCCUGAUCCAGCCAUGCCGCGUGUGUGAAGAAGGCCUUAUGGUUGUAAAGCACUUUAAGCGAGGAGGAGGCUACUUUAGUUAAUACCUAGAGAUAGUGGACGUUACUCGCAGAAUAAGCACCGGCUAACUCUGUGCCAGCAGCCGCGGUAA